ACUCCUGCGGGAGGCAGCAGUGGGGAAUUUUGGACAAUGGGCGAAAGCCUGAUCCAGCCAUGCCGCGUGCAGGAUGAAGGCCUUCGGGUUGUAAACUGCUUUUGUACGGAACGAAACGGCCUUUUCUAAUAAAGAGGGCUAAUGACGGUACCGUAAGAAUAAGCACCGGCUAACUACGUGCCAGCAGCCGCGGUAAUACGUAGGGUGCAAGCGUUAAUCGGAAUUACUGGGCGUAAAGCGUGCGCAGGCGGUUAUGUAAGACAGUUGUGAAAUCCCCGGGCUCAACCUGGGAACUGCAUCUGUGACGGCAUAGCUAGAGUACGGUAGAGGGGGAUGGAAUUCCGCGGGUAGCAGUGAAAUGCGUAGAUAUGCGGAGGAACACCGAUGGCGAAGGCAAUCCCCUGGACCUGUACUGACGCUCAUGCACGAAAGCGUGGGGAGCAAACAGGAUUAGAAACCCCGGUAGUCCCAUGA
rnacentral:rRNA from 1 species